CAAGUACUCCCUCCGUCCCAAAAUUCUUGUCUUAGAUUUGUCUAGAUACAGAUUCAUCUGUAUCUAGAUAAAUCUAAAACAAGAAUUUUGGGACGGAGGGAGUAUUUU
rfam:Triticum aestivum genome assembly, contig: Triticum_aestivum_CS42_TGACv1_scaffold_645469_T_7AS-0.177175_5DL-0.114281